GAUAAAGCAUUUCUGAGGGCUGCACCUCUAUUUCUGCUAACGCUGUGAGCACAUGGCAAAGCCCUCUGACUCCAGAACAGAGCAAACAUGGCUUUUCCUUUCUCCUCCUGGAAGUCUCCAGCAACUGACCUCAGAGGCAUCCCGCACGCAGCUCUCUGUCGCCCGGACAGGCCAACGCCCUCUGAGUUGCUGAGUUGCCGGAUGCCCGCCGAGGUCCAAGAGAAUCCAGUUUCUGGAAGUGCCAAGUGCUCCUCCUAGUGGGGAAGGAAUGAUUCAAGAUCCCACUUGGCCCUUCCUCCUCCUUACACCGGGGAAAGGUGGGGCACCUUUUGCAAGCCUAGCAGAUGAUGGAAAUAUCGGUCCCAUUCUACAGCACAUCACUGUUGGUCCAUGCAGAGCUGGGACUAGAAAGCAGGCUGAGCUGUUCCAGAGCGUGGAAAAGGCAUUUGAUUGGCCUCAAAACCCGUGGGGUCCCGUCCCUGGUAGUGUUGCCAUCUACCUGAGACCACGGUCACGUCAUUUCACCCCAGAGCCUCAGUUUCCUCAGCUGUAUCACGGGGUGGUAACCCCUGCUGUGCCCAGUCCCUGGUUGCUCAAAGCCUUAGCCAGACACCUAUAGGAAUGGCAUGGCUUUGCAGAGCGAGGGGUGGUCAGACGUUACCCAGAAAAAGUGAAGUGGAGUUCCCAAGAGGAGCUGGGGUCCAAGAGAUGGAAAGCACCCUGCCUGACCCACAACAAAUCAGUGGCUGAGCCUGAUCCAGAGCCCCGACUCCGGAGCCACUGUUCUCUUCCCACCAAGCCCGCUCCCUGUGAAUUGCAUUGGUGAGGAGGAAAGUCCAUCUGACACCUGCUGCCUCUGCGACCCACCUCAUGUGGGCCCCUCCCUCUUCCUCCUCAGAUGUUGGACCACGCAAGCUUGCUCCUACUGCACCCUUGCUGGGCCCUCAGCCUCGAGUGCCCUUCCCCAGUUUCUGUGUCUGGCCUCAGGUCCAAAUUUGCCUCCUCCAAGAAGCCUUCCUUGACUGUGAGCUCCAUGCACUGCUUGGCAUUAACUCUCUACAAGGGACUAUCUGCUAUUUUCUUGUUUAGAUACAUGUAUGUAUGUACGUGUAUGUAUGUGUUUAGGCUGUCUCCCCAAAUACAAUUUAAAUACUAGUAGAGUAGGUACCAGGAGGGUGCUUAACAAAUAUGGUUGAAUGACCAAAGUCAAAAUUUCAUUUUUAAUUAGCAGCCCGGAGUUGGUAGAGAUGUGACUAUGUGUGGAGACAUUGUUAAAUCUAAUGUUUUGGGGGUCCGGUCGGCGUGGCUCAGUGGUUGAGCAUCAACCUAUGAACCAGGAGGUCACAGUUCAAUUCCUGGUGGGGGCACAUGCCCAGCUUGUGAACUGGAUCCCCAGUGUGGGGCCAGCAGGAGGCAGCUG